GUGGCGAACGGGUGAGUAACACGUGAGUAACCUGCCCCUGACUCUGGGAUAAGCGUUGGAAACGACGUCUAAUACUGGAUAUGAUCACUGGCCGCAUGGUCUGGUGGUGGAAAGAUUUUUUGGUUGGGGAUGGACUCGCGGCCUAUCAGCUUGUUGGUGAGGUAAUGGCUCACCAAGGCGACGACGGGUAGCCGGCCUGAGAGGGUGACCGGCCACACUGGGACUGAGACACGGCCCAGACUCCUACGGGAGGCAGCAGUGGGGAAUAUUGCACAAUGGGCGAAAGCCUGAUGCAGCAACGCCGCGUGAGGGAUGACGGCCUUCGGGUUGUAAACCUCUUUUAGUAGGGAAGAAGCGAAAGUGACGGUACCUGCAGAAAAAGCACCGGCUAACUACGUGCCAGCAGCCGCGGUAAUACGUAGGGUGCAAGCGUUGUCCGGAAUUAUUGGGCGUAAAGAGCUCGUAGGCGGUUUGUCGCGUCUGCUGUGAAAUCCCGAGGCUCAACCUCGGGCUUGCAGUGGGUACGGGCAGACUAGAGUGCGGUAGGGGAGAUUGGAAUUCCUGGUGUAGCGGUGGAAUGCGCAGAUAUCAGGAGGAACACCGAUGGCGAAGGCAGAUCUCUGGGCCGUAACUGACGCUGAGGAGCGAAAGCAUGGGGAGCGAACAGGAUUAGAUACCCUGGUAGUCCAUGCCGUAAACGUUGGGCGCUAGAUGUAGGGACCUUUCCACGGUUUCUGUGUCGUAGCUAACGCA
rnacentral:rRNA from 1 species